UGGGGAAUUUUGGACAAUGGGGGAAACCCUGAUCCAGCCAUCCCGCGUGUGCGAUGAAGGCCUUCGGGUUGUAAAGCACUUUUGGCAGGAAAGAAACGUCAUGGGUUAAUACCCCGUGAAACUGACGGUACCUGCAGAAUAAGCACCGGCUAACUACGUGCCAGCAGCCGCGGUAAUACGUAGGGUGCAAGCGUUAAUCGGAAUUACUGGGCGUAAAGCGUGCGCAGGCGGUUCGGAAAGAAAGAUGUGAAAUCCCAGAGCUCAACUUUGGAACUGCAUUUUGAACUACCGGGCUAGAGUGUGUCAGAGGGAGGUGGAAUUCCGCGUGUAGCAGUGAAAUGCGUAGAUAUGCGGAGGAACACCGAUGGCGAAGGCAGCCGCCUGGGAUAACACUGACGCUCAUGCACGAAAGCGUGGGGAGCAAACAGG
rnacentral:rRNA from 1 species